UGAAGCUGCGCCGCCCGCCCGCCGUCAGCGGGGCUAUAUAAGGGGGAAAUGGCUCGAGCACUGCGGUGAGAGCAUCUCUGGCUGCAGCGGCAACGGUCCUGGUCCUGGUCCUGGUCCUGGUCCUGGUCCUGGUCCUGGUCCUGGUCCUGGUCCUGGUCCUGGUCCUGGUCCUGGUCCUGGUCCUGGUCCUGGUCCUGGUCCUGGUCCUGGUCCUGGUCCUGCAUCAGCCGCUUCCCUCUGCAGCGGAGGGUCCUGUACGCCGGGGGGUGGGAGCGGGGUCGUGCCCGGACCCCUGGAGGGAGAAAUAGAGAUGGAAAUAGAGAUGGAUGAGGAUGCUGAUGCCGCUUCCCACGCUGGGACCCCGGGGCUGUUUCGGCGCUGGCAGAUGCAGCGAGGGGAUGCGGGAGGAAGCGGCUCGGAGGAGGCAGCAGCGCAGCCCGAUGGAGGUUUUGGUAGCUUGCCAUUGCUGAAAGAGGCAGAUGCCAUUCGCCGCAAUAGCUGUUGGACUGUCUUUGUACCAAGAAGUGAGGAGAUGAGGAGUCUGACCACGUGCAGGCUUGGAACUUCUUCCCUUCCACCAAGCAAACUGUCCUGAGCCAAGAGGAUUUGUCUCUACUGGGAUCUCUGGAUUCAUAAGCCCUCAUGGACUGGCGUGGGUUUUGGAUGCUCCCUUCUGUCCGUACAUGGGAAUGUCGUGGUUGGAAGGCUGCAAACACCUGCUUCUCUGAAAACCUGGUGGAUUACUUCUUUUGGCAUUAUUCUGCCGGUGCUGUGGUUUUUACUAAUCUGGUGGACCUGGCCUCAUUACAUGAAGUCUCCCAACUGACAGAUGUGGAAAAGGAGCAGUUGCAGCCUAGUUCCGCAGUCCCCUCUUUCUGGGCUACUUACUCUGAGUAUGGUGGCUCUGGAGGAGGAAGGAGUCCACAUGUAGGACUAAUCCUGCUGGUCUUGGGGUCCGUCGUGAAGGCUCGGGGUGUGGGGACCUGAGAGGAUACAGCCAAGGUGCUGUAGCACUGAUCAUGGCCAAAAUGACCAGGAGCACCCUCUCAAGGAUGGAUGCUUCAGCUUCGAGCGUGGAGAGAGGGACAACAGGGAUCAGCAGUUCACCCCAAGUUUACUGGGGAGCGUUGGAAGAUUGGGGGCUAUGACAAGCUGCUUCACCCAACACCCACCGCUGAAAGCAGCUUCUCCACUAGCCAUUGCCCGUAUGUUUGCUGGGCUCUACAUCCCCAGUCCAGCGAGGGGAGUUUUCCUCCUGCCACUGACCUCACUCCUGACUCCCACACAGAGCCGAAAGGACUUAAUUAGCUGCUCUCCACUGGGCUUUGGAAAUUAUUCUCUAGACCGGCAAGCGCUGGUGAUGAAUGGUGAAGUGGUCUUGGAUCAAACCAUUGCUUGAUGCCGUUCUCUGCAAAGGACGAAGUGCUAACCCAGUUCCAAGGAACCGUUAGUGGAUUUUUUCUUUAUUCACCCUUCUGCUCAACUUUUUGAUGCCCUUUGGAGUCUUGGGCUCUCUGUGAGGAUGGCUGCACUCAGCAUGCAGCAUGUGGCGUACACGAAGUGCCGAUACUUGUGGUGGGAGCUGGAGGGGUGAAAGCCUUCAGAGGAGCUGUGGGGUGGAAGCUGAGUUGGCAGUCCUGGUGCCUUGGGGUUUAAAACUGUCUGCCAGAGUCUCAUCUUGUGCCAGGGGUGUUGAGUGGUCUUGGGAGGGUCCUUCUGCUGUGGGCAGCUGAGCACCCUCAGCCCUGGCACAUCCCGUGCGGAGCAGCCCACGUGGGGCUGGGGAGUGGGGGACGCCAAACUGCAGUGAGGGGAACAUCAAGAAGGGGGAAAAUACCACCCUCAGAAACAAUUAAACUUCUUAAUAAAACCCAUUGCCUCUGUGAGUGCUCAGUGUUCUUUUCCGUUUGCCUUGGCUCAGCCACACUUACAUCACGGCCCUAUCGCGGGGCUGCUGAGGGGAUGCGUUUGAUUGUACAGGAAACCAGUGCUUUGGCAAACUUCUCUGCCCUAAUGAAGCCAGGCCAAGUGUUUAAUGCUUUUGCUUUGCAGAAAAAUUCUCCCCUGUCCUUUUCUCCUUCCCUUUCUGCGACCCUUAACCAUCACUGCCCGACUGCACGGCCAGGCGAGCCGCCCCUCGCGUGCCUCCUCCUCCAAAAGCGACUGAAGUGAUAAUUAAUUCCCCUUAAAUCAUGUUGUUUCACAUUGCUGGGCUAUGUGUUCCCUUUCACCCUGUAGACUUGAUGCGAAACACCAGAAGGUGCCAUAUGGAAAUGAGAAUAAAAGAGGAUAUUUAUGUAAUGGAAAUAGCUGUUUAUUAAUUUUUUACAAGAUUUAGACCCAUUAUGUACAAAAGGUGUCUUUUCGUCUAAAAAGCACAGUAGCCUCAUGAGCAUGGAUUCAGUAUAACUGGGUUUGGUGUGCUGCCACAGGGGCUUGAUGUCAAACUCACUGUAGGAUCUCAAUAUAGCUCUGACUUCUUUUCUCCACACAGUGAGUCUCUCCCUUGCAGAAACUUGGUUAGAACCAUAGAAUUUUGGGUCCUUUCCUUUGAAAUCCAUUACUUGAAUCAGAAACACCUUGGAGAAUUUAAGAACCAUGUUAUGCCCUUUGAGCAGAACUAUGAGAGAACAGCAAAGCCCAGAAAUACGUGAAACUCCACUCGAUGAUGGAUUUUGGAAGAUGCUAAUGAAAGCCAAUGUCAAGCUCAUACGUGCUCAUUAAGAUGA